rnacentral:rRNA from 1 species
AGCGAACGCUGGCGGCAGGCCCAACACAUGCAAGUCGAACGGACCCUUCGGGGUUAGUGGCGGACGGGUGAGUAACACGUGGGAACGUGCCUUUAGGUUCGGAAUAGCUCCUGGAAACGGGUGGUAAUGCCGAAUGUGCCCUUCGGGGGAAAGAUUUAUCGCCUCUAGAGCGGCCCGCGUCAGAUUAGCUAGUUGGUGAGGUAAUGGCUCACCAAGGCGACGAUCAGUAGCUGGUCUGAGAGGAUGACCAGCCACAUUGGGACUGAGACACGGCCCAAACUCCUACGGGAGGCAGCAGUGGGGAAUCUUGCGCAAUGGGCGAAAGCCUGACGCAGCCAUGCCGCGUGGAUGAUGAAGGUCUUAGGAUUGUAAAAUCCUUUCACCGGUGAAGAUAAUGACUGUAGCCGGAGAAGAAGCCCCGGCUAACUUCGUGCCAGCCGCCGCAGUAAUAC